rnacentral:rRNA from 1 species
CAAUGUAUGGAUAUUGCUUGAAUUAAUAAAGUAAUUGUUUUAUAUGCGCUUCAUGAGUACUCUGAUAUUUGACUAGUCCGGUCUAACACAACGUUAGGUCGAGGUACGGGUUGAAAAGCCUUAGGCCUUAAUCUAACGGAAAACGCUAACUCUAGGUACGAGUUUCAAAGCCUUAUGCCUUGACGCAGCGGGACGAGUUAGUGGAUGAACUGGUCUAGGUCGUGGAGUAAAGUUUGUGACUCUGACCGGAUCAUCCCUAGCCCGUCACGUAGCGCUUCCGGACCAUGGUGAUGGGUUGGACGGUCAGUCAUGUUCUUGUUUGAUUGUUGGCUGGCGGAUGGCCUUUCAUCUCCAACCCUUGGUGUGGGUCAUCCGUCGGUCAUGUUCUUGUUUGAUUGUUGGCCGGUGGGUCGACCUAUGCUUAGGACGGUUCGGGGGUGUUACAGUCGGGGGCAUUCUUAUUUCAUAGUCAGAGUUGAAAUUCUUGGAUUUAUGAAAGACGAACAACUGCGAAAGCAUUUGCCAAGGAUGUUUUCAUUAAUCAAGAACGAAAGUUGGGGGAUCGAAGACGAUCAGAUACCGUCCUAGUCUCAUCCAUAAACGAUGCCGACCAGGGAUCAGCGGAUGUUGGACUCCGCUGGCACCUUAUGAGAAAUCAAAGUUUUUGGGUUCCGGGCGGAGUAUGGUCGCAAGGCUGAAACAUAAAGGAAUUGACGGAAGGGCACCACCAGGAGUGGAGCCUGCGGCUUAAUUUGACUCAACACGGGGAAACUUACCAGGUCCAAACAUAGUAAGGAUUGACAGACUGAGAGCUCUUUCUUGAUUCUAUGGGUGGUGGUGCAUGGCCGUUCUUAGUUGGUGGAGCGAUUUGUCUGGUUAAUUCCGUUAACUAACGAGACCUCAGCCUGCUAACUAGCUACGUGGAGGCAUCCCUUCAUCGGAGACUAUGGCCAUUUAGGCCAAAGGAAGUUUGAGGCAAUAACAGGUCUGUGAUUCCCUUAGAUGUUCUGGGCCGCACGCGUACUACACUGAUGUAAUUAUCGAGUUCACACCUUGACCGACAGGCCCGGGUAAUCUUUGAAAUUUCAUCGUGAUGGGGAUAGAUCAUUGCAAUUGUUGGUCUUCAACGAGGAAUUCCUAGCAAUUCAUCAGCUCCCAUUAACUACGCCCCUGCCCUUUGUACACACCACCGUCGCCCUACCAAUUGAAUGAUCCGGUGAAAUGUUCGGAUCAAGGGCGAUGGGUGGUGUAACACCCUGAUCCGGCCGACAAGGCCAUGGUCGAAGCCUUACAUCAC